ACUAGGAGUCCGUGGUGUUCUUAAACUAAUACAUGCUGAUUUGCCCGACUUUUUGGAAGGGGGGUAUUUUUUAUAUAACAACCACUAUUCCUCGUGUCGAUCGGGGUGACUCAGAAUAACUGAUCGAAUCCCUCGGCUUUUGCCCCGAUAAAUCAUUCUUGUUUUUGCCCCUCCACCUGUCCAUGGUACUGUAUUGGACUACCAUGUCAAUAACGGGAAACGAGGGAUUAGAGUUCUAUUCCUCCAAGGGAGCCAGAGAAACGGCUACCACAUCUAAAGAUGGCAGGAGGGGCGUAAAUUACCCAAUUCUGAUUCCCAGAGGUAGUGACGAAAAAUAACAAACCGAUACUUUUGUAACUGGGUUGCAAUGAGCCGAAUUUUUCUUCCCUUGGUGAGGAGCAAUU
rnacentral:rRNA from 1 species